rnacentral:lncRNA from 1 species
CUGGAGAGGGACGGUGACAUGCUCGUACCGUUAUGCUCUCUCCAGCUGCUGCAGGACAGGAGCAAGGUGGAAGUAUACUUGAAGCAGAGCCUGCCGUACCUGAAAAACACCCAGGCCACCUUGCGAGAGGCAGCCAUCAGGUUCAUUGGGCUUGCUGCGCAGCACCUGAGGGACCAAAAUGAGGAGAAGCUGCAGGAUAUCUGCAAUGACCUCAAGGCCCUGAUGAAUGACACUGAACCCUCAGUCCAGUCCCUGGCAGCUCAGACCUUGGUGAUCCUGGGGACACCAAGGAAGCAGCAAACCUCAGGGUGGUCCCUACGAACACUGUGCUGCUGGCUCUGCAGAGACAGGGAGAGGUGAAAUAAGCCUCCGGAAAAUGGCCAUAUUUGAAUACUACUUUUU